ensembl:miRNA
UGAUGCACCAUGUUGGGUUGCAUCAGUCAUGCCAAGUUAUGAAACCUAACACAAAGUGACUGAUGCAGGUUGACAUGACAUGUCA